rnacentral:rRNA from 1 species
UACGAACUGUGCAAACGUUAUUCGGAAUCACUGGGCUUAAAGGGUGCGUAGGCGGUCUUUUAAGUAGGGUGUGAAAGCCUCUGGCUCAACCAGAGAACUGCGCCCUAAACUAGAAGGCUUGAGUGAGGUAGGGGUGUGUGGAACUUCCAGUGGAGCGGUGAAAUGUGUUGAUAUUGGAAGGAACGCCGGUGGCGAAAGCGACACACUGGACCUUGUCUGACGCUGAGGCACGAAAGCCAGGGGAGCAAACGGG